GAUGAACGCUGGCGGCGUGCCUAAUACAUGCAAGUCGAGCGAACAGACGAGGAUCUUGCUCCUCUGACGUUAGCGGCGGACGGGUGAGUAACACGUGGAUAACCUACCUAUAAGACUGGGAUAACUUCGGGAAACCGGAUCUAAUACCGGAUAACAUGUUGAACCGCAUGGUUCAACAGUGAAAGACGGCUUUUCUGUCACUUAUAGAUGGUUCCGCGCCUCAUUAGCUAGUUGGUAAGGUAACGGCUUACCAAGGCAACGAUGCGUAGCCGAACUGAGAGGAGGAUCGGCCACACUUGAACUGAGACACGGUCCAGACUCCUCCGGGAGGCAGCAGUAGGGAAUCUUCCACAAUGGGCGAAAGCCUGACGGAGCCACGCCGCGUGGGUGAAGAAGGUCUUCGGAUCGUAAAACUCUGUUAUUAGGGAAGAACAAAUGUGUAAGUAACUAUGGCCGUCUUGACGGUACCUAAUCAGAAAGCCACGGCUAACUACGUG
rnacentral:rRNA from 1 species